rnacentral:rRNA from 1 species
GACGAACGCUGGCGGCGUGCUUAACACAUGCAAGUCGAACGAUGAAGCUGGAGCUUGCUCCGGUGGAUUAGUGGCGAACGGGUGAGUAACACGUGAGCAAUCUGCCCUUCACUCUGGGAUAACUGCGGGAAACUGUAGCUAAUACCGGAUACGAGGCUUGGAGGCAUCUCCAGGUCUGGAAAGAAUCUCGGUGAAGGAUGAGCUCGCGGCCUAUCAGCUUGUUGGUGAGGUAAUGGCUCACCAAGGCGACGACGGGUAGCCGGCCUGAGAGGGUGACCGGCCAGACUGGGACUGCGAUACGGCACAGACUCCUACGGGAGGCAGCAGUGGGGAAUAAUGCAAAAUGGGUGACAGUCUGAUGAAUCAACUCCGCGUGAGGGAUGAAGGCCUUCGGGUUGUAAACCUCUUUUAGCAGGGAAGAAGCUAAAGUGACGGUACCUGCAGAAAAAGCACCGGCUAACUACGUGCCAGCCGCCGCAGUAA